ACCAUUAACUAUUAGCUCUCUUGUAAACCUGUAUCUUCAGAAUAACAAAUUCUUUUGUUCAUCUUUGUUUCUAUUUCGUGAGCUUAAAACUCUUACUCACUGCUAAAUGUCUCUUCCUUCGUCUUUUGUUAAAACAUCCUCAGAACAAAAUGCUCCCAUUGUUUAACAUUUUCCAGAAAUCCCUCAUUGGCUUUUGAAAACCCUUUCUUAGAAGAAAAUCCUUCACCACCCUUGGUUACUGAAGGACUCUUUGGGUUACCUAUUGGUGAAGAACAACUAGUGACAAACACUUAAAUCCCUUCCCUGAGUGUGGACCCAGAAACCUCUGAAAAGAUCUCCUCAUGUACCAAAUCUACAUCUCAAUGACUCUCUAUUCUUGUUCAUGAGAGCACCUCAACUAGUUCAAUUCCUAAGUCAAGUGCGAUACCUGAAUUGUCCAAGGGACUAGUUCCCCUAGCAGUUGUUGAACCUCCUGAGGUAGAACAAAGUCUAUUUUAAGGUGAUUUACUUGAGGGGCGUGGAAACCCUCCAAGGAGUUUUGAGGUGGGUAGUCGAUAGUCUGACAAAACUAACAUCAGGUUCUCCAUUGUUCUUUGAUGCUCCUCCAAAAUCUCCUGGUCCCAAAUAUGAUGUUGCCCAUCUUUCUAGAAGGGUAUCUAAGGAAGUUGUUCAUUCUUCAGUUAAGGAUGAUGAUGAUGAGGAUGUUUUUGUAAAUCUCUCCUGGAAUAGAAUGAGAAAAAGAGGAUAUUCAAGAAAGAUCAAGUCUUUGAGAAUCCUAUUCAACGAUCGUAUAGUACUCGAAGGACAGAGAAAAAUUAAUGAGUGAUGCAUUAAAGACAAGUAAGAGAGUCACUACCAGAAAGUGAAAUGCUAAGAAAAAAGAUUGCAAGUGAGAAACCUACGUCGCCUCCUGAGAAGGUAGCGGGUGUGGAGGGUGAUGAUAGAAAUGAGGAAACGAAGAAUCAUGAUGACGUUGUUGUUGCUUCUAGGAGAAAAAAUAAUAGAAUGGGGGCUUCGAAGCCUACAACACCCAAUCCAAAGGGUGCUAGUAAGAAAAUAAUCACCAUUCAAAAAAAUAAAGAGUAGAAGUCUUCAGCGGACCUGGUACUAAUGGUAACACACAAGAAUGUAAGGGAACUAGUAAAAUAGAUGAGGGACUUGGUUCCUCCUUAAAAAGAAUACAGAUUCAAGUGGUGGUUCCUGGUCUCAUAAGAGAGGAGAGGAACAAGAUCCUCAAUCCCAAAAGGUAUUAACUGGGAGGGUUUUUGACACAAGAAUCUGAGAUGAACCUGGAAUAACUGAGCUUGUUUAAUACGUUGAACACCAAGAUUGUCUGCAACUUUUUGAGCCUCGUGCACCAAUGUUCUAUUAAGAUGAAGUCAAGGACUUCUUCUUUACAUUAGAAUAUGUUGAUAAUGCAUCCAGUCUCACUGUAAUGGUGUAUGGAGUCAAAAACAUUUCUUGAUAUAAAGUUACCUGGGCCGAUCCUUGGUGUACCUGUUGAUGGGAUUAAGUCAGUCCAAAUAAAAUAACCUUUUCUUGCCUUCGUGCAGUCUGCUUCUAAGGUUGGUGGAGAUUCUAGAGCUGGAUUCAGAAGAAGUUUCUAAAAGGCUAAAAAAUUAUGCACACAGACAUUACCUUAUCCCUAUACUUCUAAAGAAGUUUUCGAGCAGAGCAUGUGGAUGCUCAUUGGACCUGAAUCCAACCCUACUACAGCAGUUCCUGCUCUUAUUCGCCCAGAGGUGGUAAAGACGAGCAGUGUUAUCAUAAAGCCUAUUCAAUUCAGGAGGUAAAUCCCCAUAGAAGAGCGCAGGACCACAAAUGUGGUAGUGCGCAAAACAAGAAGGGUAGUAAAAAUAAGGGUAAAGCCACAAAGAAGUGUUAAAUUUUGAGAAAUUGCUGAUGAGAUAGAUAUAGUUGGAGACUGCACUUACUAACUAACUUCUUUCUCAUUAAUUUAACUAAUCAAGUAAUCCUAACUACUGACCGUACAUUCUUGAGCUGAUUAGUGGAAAACUGUACUCUUAACUAACUGCUUAAUAUCCUCCCUCAAGCUAGGUUUAUGAAAAACAUUUUUCAUUCCUAGCUUGGCAAGCAAGUGGGCAUGUUAGAUAUAAGUGAGACCUUUAGUAAGCAAGUCUGCAGGUUACUCUGUUGUAUUUAAGUAUUAUGGAUGAACCAUUAUUUGCUGAACCUUUUCCCGAAUAAAGUGACAAUUGAUGUCUAUGUGUUUGGUGUGUUCAUGAAAAACUGAAUAUGCAGCUAUUUGAAUGGGUUGAUUUGUUGUCACUAUAUAUGGGAACUGAUAGAUUUAUAUCCACUCCUAGCUUCUUAAAGCGACCAACUAGCCACACAAUUUCAUCAACACUGCAGGAUAGGCUCCUGUACUCAGCCUCUGCUGAGCUUCUUGAAAUGGUGCGUUGCUUAUUAGAUUCCCAUGAUAUCAAAGAAUUUCUAUGAGUGAUCAAGUAUCCAGUGAUAGACUUUCUGCCAUUUGGAUAGGAAGCCCAGUCAGCAUCACAGUAUGCAGUAAACUGAUUUGAAGCAGUAGAUGUCAUGAACAAACCUAGUCCUGGUGAAUGCUUAACAUACUUAACCACUCUCAUUGCGAUGUGUGAUGUCUUGGUAUUAUGCAUGAAUUGAAUUAAAAGCUAAACCAUAAAGGAAAUGAGUGACCUAGUUACAGUCAGAUAAAGCAAUCUUCCCACAAGUUUUUUAUACACACCAGGAGCAUCUAGUAGUUUUUCAUUGCUGUCAGUAGGAGGGAAAUGUAAAUCAAAUUCUAUUGUCGUGAGUUUUUGAUUCAACUAAAUAGGAUCUCCAACAGGCUUUAAACCAUACAACCCUAUUUCUAAAAUUAAUUCAAGACAAUACUUUCUCUGAUACAUGAUUAUUCCUAAUUCAUUUUUUGGCAAAUUCCAAACCUAAGAAUUACCUCAAUUUACCUAAGUCCUUGAUCUUGAAAUUCUCUUUAAGAAUUUUCUUAGUGUCCAGGAUCAACUUAGGAUCAUUUCCUUUUAUUAUAAAAUCAACAUAAAUUCAUAUCACCACUAAGUUGUCACCUUGUGGUUUGUGAAUAGGGAAUAGUAAAAAUGAUUCUGUUGAAACCUUGAAUCGAUCAAAGCUGUAAUUAAUUUUAUGUUCCAUUGCCUGUUGGCCUGCUUGAGUCCAUAAAGUGAUUUUGUGAGCUUGCAUACUCUCCCCUUCCCACUUUGAUGGAAAAAAUGUAGAUGCAUUUCCAUAUAAACAUCCUUAUUUAAAUUAGCUUGAAGAAAUGCAUUAAAAACAUCCAUCUAGUGAAUCUCCCAGUGAUGUGCAAUAACUAAAGAGAUGACUACCCUGGCCAUAACUAUUUUCACAAUAGUGGAAUAAGUUUCUUGAUAGUCUAAGCCUUCCUUUUGGUUAUACUCUUUGGUUAACAACCUAGGUUUGAACCUAUCAAUCUAUUGAUCAGCUUUGUAAUUUAUUUUAUACACCCAUUUGCACCUUAUUGGCCUCUUACCCUUAUAUAACUAAGUGAUUUCCCAGGCGUGGUUGUCUUCUAGUGCCUUUAUCUCACUCUUAAUAGCAUCAAUCCACCCGCAGUCCUUUAUUGCUUCCUGAUAAGAUGUAGGUUCCCUCUUUUGAGAAAAUUUAGUUACAAAAAUUCUGUAGGUUGGUGAUAUUUUGUGAUAAUCUAACACAUCUGUCAUAGAAUGCAAGCAGUUUCCAGCAGUCUUUUUCUUGGAAGUAAUGUAAUCUGCAUGCCAUAUUGGAGGCUUUACAGAGCUAUUUUACUUUCUUGCAAUAAUAUGUGAUCUUAUUGUGUUAUGUUGGGGAGGAAUAUUAUCUGUAACUGGUGAUAAAUUAUUAGUGACACCAGGAUCAUGAUGUUCUUGAGUAUUAGUUACAUCUGUAGUUACAUCUGCGGUAACACCAAGAUCAUGAGGAGCUUGCUGAGCAUGUGUAUGUGUACUGUCUGAGUAAGAUGAGGAUCCAUCAACCGUAUGAUACACAACAGGAUGCACAAGCUCUACAGUCUCAGGCAUACUAUCAACUGAAGGUUCAGAUAUGAAGCAUGAGGUAGAUUCAUAGUUAUCAAUGUGUGAGUGUGAAAUAAAGAAGUGAUGAUCAUUUUAAUCUCCAAGGCUUUUACACUAAAAGCGAAAUACAUUUUCAUGUUAAACAACAUCUUUACUAACAAACAUAGUUUUUGAUUCAAUAUCCAACAAUUUAUACCCCUUUUGAUUAACUGCAUAUCCAAGCAACACAACUUGUCUUGCCUUUGGUGCAAACUUAUCCCCUUCCAACAAGCUAGUAGCAAAUGCAAGACAACAUCACCUUAAUAUGUAACAAAAAAGGUUGUUUGUUACAAAUUACCUCAUAUGAUAACUUAUUUCCCAAAACAGAUGGAAGGAAUUUUGUUUAUUAUGCAUAUUGUAGCUUUUAUACACUCUCCCCAAUACUUUCUUGGCAAACAUCAUUGAAAUUUGAUA